UACCUUUAACCUCUGCAGGUAAUUGCUGUGUGUAUGCGUAGUGCCACACUUUCACAUAAUAUGAUUCCGAUGCAUGAAUUCUUCCUUAAAGCAGUGAAAGAAGCAAUGCGGUCCUUCAUUUGAAAUAUUGUUGAGGAAUUUGGUUCUGCUACUCGAAAUGAAUAAAAGUUCCAAGUUUUGUUCGGUGGUGAUUCUUAGGAAAGCUUAUCAGCGAAGUGUUUAACACAAUGAUUCUGCAAUGGCAUUUGAGUCUUGAACUCUUGUUCUAUCUAUCAAUUUUCGACUGGCUUAAGUUAACCGCUGCCGUUCUAUUGUUGAAAUCAUAUGUUGCCAACCUGGUACAUUGAGUUAAUGAUAUUGCUCCUCAGUAGUCACUUUGUUUGUUGUCUGACAGCUGACUUAUCUUUUGCUAGCUUUUUGACACAUCCAUGCUUAUGUACUGUAUGUUUCAUAUGAUUCUACAAGGCAUCAUGGAAACACGAAUUAGCAUUUGGAAUUCACGAAAAUGCUCUCAUAGAUCAGCUGACCUAUCUUUUUCUAGCUUAGUGUGCAGACACGAUGAAUCUUGAUUUGUAUAUAUCUGUAUUUCUUAUUUUCUCAGGAACCGUGGGAACAUAUGUUGAUUAAAUUUUUUUGUUUGAUAAUGAUUGAGAUUUAGUUUCAUGCUCGUCCAACUUAAGUGUGCUGUGCUAUCCUGAUGUACAACUGUUAAGAUGCCAUACUACCAUGACAAAGAGACAGAUACUUGCAAGUGAUUGGAUUAUUUUCUGUACUGUUAAGGUGUAUUGCAUUAGGUGUUCUUAGUUUUGUCUGAAUCAGCAGACCAGUUGGAUUUUAAUGAAGUAUGAAGAAAGAUAUACGGGUUGUACUUCAUACUGCCAUUCUUAGUAAUUCUUCCUCUUGUAACCGCAGGGGAAAAAAUGAACUGGAGUCAGACUUUAGAAGGUUCUGGGAAGAAUUCCGCUCUUCCAGCUCUGAAAAGGUCAUCAGUUUAUACAGAGAAGACCCGGGGCAUAGAGAAAGAGAGACAGACAGUUGGAGAGUACCAUGGCUGUUCAAUUCUUCUCGCAGUUCAGGAGGGCGCCACUGAUGCCAUUGACAACAUCAUGUGCAAACUGAAUAUGGAGAGCCACGCAGCCUCCCGCCUUGACAGUGUUUGCCGACUACAACUUAAAUGAAUCAUCCUCCACUAAUGGGCUGGUUGUGGUGGCUGCAUUUGUUAAUGGCUUGGCUGUAUCAUAAAUGGGCAACUUCACCUCUACCCUCAGCAAUGGAUUCCUACUUCUGUUAUGGUUGCCACCGGAAAAGGUGCUUCUCUAGGUGUUCUUAUGAAAGGUGGCAAUGCACUUCAGAAAGCUCACAAGGUAAUCUUAUGAGCCUUUGUAUGCUAGUCUGUGUGUGUGCACAUGUGCAUGCCCAUGUAAUACAGAGGUAGAGACUCGGGUGGGAUUUUCUUGAUCUUAUUUUCUGGUUUUUUAGAACUUUUCCGCACUCUAUGUCAGGCUAAGGAGAACUCGCAUCGGCACCGAAGAACAUCAGUUUACCUUUAAGAGAUCUCUGAAAUAUUUGAGGGUUAUUGUGUGUUUACGGAUUUUUGUUGGAUUCAAGUCGAAUUACUAUUGUUUGUGAUUUUACCACUCCAAAU